GAUUGACAUUGCAUAUUGCUGCCUAAUUUAUUGUCUAUUACAAUUCCCAAAUCCUUCUUGUGUGUGGUUAUCCCUACUUCACUACCAUUUAGGGUGUAAGUUGCUUGUGCAUUCUUAACCCCAAAGUGCAUAACUGCCAUUUUAGUGCCCAGUCCCCCAAUCUAUCCAAAUCCCUCUGCAGCAAAGCAAUAUCCUGCUCACAUUUUAUUACUUUACAAAGUUUUGUGUCAUCUGCAAACACU